rnacentral:rRNA from 1 species
GUGAACGCUGGCGGUAGGCCUAACACAUGCACGUCGAACGGCAGCACAGUAAGAGCUUGCUCUUACGGGUGGCGAGUGGCGGACGGGUGAGGAAUACAUCGGAAUCUACUUUUUCGUGGGGGAUAACGCAGGGAAACUUACGCUAAUACCGCAUACGACCUACGGGUGAAAGCAGGGGAUCUUCGGACCUUGCGCGAUUGAAUGAGCCGAUGUCGGAUUAGCUAGUUGGCGGGGUAAAGGCCCACCAAGGCGACGAUCCGUAGCUGGUCUGAGAGGAUGAUCAGCCACACUGGAACUGAGACACGGUCCAGACUCCUACGGGAGGCAGCAGUGGGGAAUAUUGGACAAUGGGCGCAAGCCUGAUCCAGCCAUACCGCGUGGGUGAAGAAGGCCUUCGGGUUGUAAAGCCCUUUUGUUGGGAAAGAAAAGCAGCAGGUUAAUACCCCGCUGUUCUGACGGUACCCAAAGAAUAAGCACCGGCUAACUUCGUG